AUGAUCUGCUGAAAGUAAUUUCUCUAUCCAUAGAUGUGUAUCAUUAACGCAUAUGGAGUUCUGAGAAUUGUGUAGUGUGGUUGUCACUAAAACAUGCUGCAAGUUGGGGAAUCAGCCAGAUAUUAGCUCCCCAGAGGCAACAGCAAGGAAAAUGACCAAUCCCCA